rnacentral:rRNA from 1 species
UACGUAGGUGGCAAGCGUUGUCCGGAUUUACUGGGCGUAAAGAGCGCGCAGGCGGUCGUUCAAGUCGCGUGUGAAAGCCCCCGGCUCAACUGGGGAGGGUCACGCGAUACUGAUCGACUGGAAGGCAGGAGAGGGUAGUGGAAUUCCCGGUGUAGUGGUGAAAUGCGUAGAUAUCGGGAGGAACACCAGUGGCGAAGGCGACUACCUGGCCUGUUCUUGACGCUGAGGCGCGAAAGCUAGGGGAGCAAGCGGG